rnacentral:tRNA from 1 species
GAAAGGGUUCAAGUCCCUCUAUCCCCA